CUGACUUCCUCCUGCCAGUCAUUACACACCUGAGCAGAACCAGCUUGUGUCCUCCUAUCUGUAUCACUCAAACAUCUCCCUUCUCAGGUUCACCAUACCAAAAGGUCUUAGUUUAAGCGUACACACAGCAGUUUUCAGCCUUAAGGUGAAGUCCCCUGUGGUCGUCAAUACUCACUGACAAAAUGUUGCCCGCUGAUGUGCACCGGUCCUGACCCUGACAGGAGACGUAAGGUCACUGGCGGCGUGAUCUCAAAGCCACCUAAAGUCAU